GACGGAGGAUGCAAGCGUUAUCCGGAAUGAUUGGGCGUAAAGCGUCCGCAGGUGGCAGUUCAAGUCUGCUGUCGAAGACCGGGGCUUAACUUCGGAAAGGCAGUGGAAACUGAACAGCUAGAGUAUGGUAGGGGCAGAGGGAAUUCCUGGUGUAGCGGUGAAAUGCGUAGAGAUCAGGAAGAACAUCGGUGGCGAAGGCGCUCUGCUGGACCAUAACUGACACUCAGGGACGAAAGCUAGGGGAGCGAAUGGG
rnacentral:rRNA from 1 species